UCCUUUGUGUUUUCAUGCAUCUAUAACGCCUAGACUAGAACGGAUAUGGUGGCGACGGGCGACGGGCAACGGGCGACGGGCGGGGUUGGCUCUCGGUUACCAUUGGCGGGGUGGUGAAUCACGUGAGACCUUGGUGCAUCGGAAACUUUGUAAACAGAAGGCGGACGCAAGAUGUGCUUUGGAUGCGAGAUAUUGGCACGUCCUGGCGUGCGGGUGUUGUGCCAAGACGCUGCAGAGGUGUAUCCUGGUGCGUUGGUGUUGUGCAUGACGGAGGCGAGACAGUGGUUCCAUGAACUCUUGAAGGACACCGGCAAGCAUGUUUUGUUGGGCAAAAGUCUGGCUAGCAACAUGAUGUCCUUCAAGCAUCUUUGAUUUCUCAAGGGGUACGGUAAGCAGGGAGUGAGUCUCGAGAAACGGUGUUCGUGUCCGUCGUGGAGGGAAGUAACCGAUCGCUGUGGUUUGCAGCUCGAGUCCCCUCAUGGAGAAUCGAAAGCAGUCUCUGGGAAUCAUUCAUCUUGAAUCAGGCAACAUCGCAGCAGCAGUGCGUGUCAGACUGGCUUCCUUGUUUGCUUUUGAUUAUGAUGCGAAGCUUGAAAUACACCUGCGGUUUUGUGAUUCAUGAUGGAAAUCUUACUGAGUCGUCGCUUAUAAACUCAUUCUUCUGAAAAUGCUUUUUUUGAAAAUUGAUACUGUUUAGGGUUAAGCUUGAUAACUGGUAUCUUUCUUCCAGGGAUGCGAUUGACUGAAAAAUUCUCAUAAACCAGGUGAAGAUAGAUAUCGGUCAUUAAAUUUAAGUCUACCCUUAAAAAUAUCGAGUUUUUCUAAAAUACCUCUAGAGAACUAAGUAUAUAAGCACUAACACAAGUAAAAUUUCUAUUUUUAAGCAUCAA